rnacentral:rRNA from 1 species
UACGAAGGGUGCAAACGUUGCUCGGAAUUACUGGGCGUAAAGCGUGCGCAGGCGGUUAUGCAAGACAGAUGUGAAAUCCCCGGGCUUAACCUGGGAACUGCAUUUGUGACUGCAUAGCUGGAGUACGGUAGAGGGGGAUGGAAUUCCGCGUGUAGCAGUGAAAUGCGUAGAUAUGCGGAGGAACACCGAUGGCGAAGGCAGUCCCCUGGACCUGUACUGACGCUCAUGCACGAAAGCGUGGGGAGCAAACAGG